UUCGAUGAGUGAUACGUCUGUUUGUCUGUGGGCAACGGUUAAAUCCCAAUCCUUUCUGACUUGCUAGAAGGUGCACAAAACUGUCAAAUUACAAAAAAGUACCUACUCAUAAAUUGGUCAGUGAUUCACUCUUCAGAAAUUACUCACCCUAAGCUUAUGAUGCUUCAUACUUUAUGAUAUUUUCCAAACAUAAAUUCAGAUUGAAAAAAAAAUAUUUCGAUUUCAAAUGUUAUAAUUAAUCGUUAUGUUCUUUACGUAAUUAACAACAGUUACGGCAAGUAUAACAAUAGAACAAUUCGAAUGGUCCCCCAUUGUAGAUGCACUCGUAUGUUUAGGCCGUUCGCAAUGCUGUUUUAUUUCGUAUGGCGAGUUUUAAAAUAAAACUGGAACUAAAACAGCACGUCCACAAUGCUGAGUUGCAGUUUUAUUUUUCGAGCACUUAUUUGAAACUCAUUUACAACUGCUCGACAGGUUUGUUUUAAAUUGUGGUUGAUUUAAAACUGGAAUUCAACUUUGUUUUAUUUUCAAACUUGUCAUUCUUGCGUUGUAUGUGUGUGCUGUGACGAUGUUUUUAUUGAUUUCAACUGGCAGGCAGCUCCGUCAACAAUAUGAAAAGUGAAAUGCCGAGAAUGAAUUGCAUUAUUUCUUUGGCAAUUUUGUGCGGGAAGUGAUACCCGGUCGUCAGCAGCAGAUAUCAGAGCACAUAUUUAUCAUAGCAGGUGGGUUCAGAUAACGCUGCACUUGGUCCACUCACCAUGAUCUCUGCGCUUUACCGCUUCCCACGGAUGGGUCUGCAGGAGCCGGAGCUUCCCCCGGCAAAUGACGAUACGGAGGACGACGACCGAUCAAUCCGGAUCGAUGCGGGCAUAUGAAUCACCAUCACACGCCACCCAGCACACCAUCGCCCGGGCUUUCGGUUGGAAAAUGGGCCAAAAUUGCAGUUGAGCGAUUACGGAAAUCAGAAAGGGGCGGUUACGGAUGCCGCCUACUAGGUCGUUUACAUCAGUGUGACGGCAGGAGGAAUCGUCGAAAGGAGGAGUGAAAUGUACGUUUUUAAACAAAUUACGCAAACAUUAGAGAUUGUGCUUUCUUUACUCCUUGCAUGAAUUGAUCAGGGCUAGUAGGUUCACCAUUUUCUCACAAGUUGCAAAGUGACGCAUUAGAUAGAUAAAUGAGACACCUUUCCAUAUUCUUUUAAAUACAAACGUUAUUCAUUAUGCA